AUACCACUAACCUCUGAUAGAUAUCUUGACAUUCAUAUUAUCCUCACAUUACAUCUAGAGGCUAAUUAAAGUUGUUGGUAGCCUUGAUUUAGUUUAGUUUGAUUUGUUUCUGUGCUAUAUUGAACCACCAAAUUGAUGAAAUUUUGUUUCUCAUGGGAAUCUAGUUGUACUUGAAACCCACUAUUUUUAUAUGUUAAUCCAAG
rnacentral:misc_RNA from 1 species